rnacentral:rRNA from 1 species
GACGAACGCUGGCGGCGUGCUUAACACAUGCAAGUCGAACGGAAAGGCCCUGCUUUUGUGGGGUGCUCGAGUGGCGAACGGGUGAGUAACACGUGAGUAACCUGCCCUUGACUUUGGGAUAACUUCAGGAAACUGGGGCUAAUACCGGCUAGGAGCUCCUGCUGCAUGGUGGGGGUUGGAAAGUUUCGGCGGUUGGGGUUGGACGCGCGGCUUAUCCGCUUGUUGGUGGGGUAGUGGCUUACCAAGGCUUUGACGGGUAGCCGGCCUGAGAGGGUGACCGGCCACAUGGCGACUGAGAGACGGCCCAGACUCCAACGGGAGGCAGCAGUGGGGAAUAUUGCACAAUGGGCGGAAGCCUGAGGCAGCAACGCCGCGUGCGGGAUGACGGCCUGCGGGUUGUAAACCGCUUUCGCCUGUGACGAAGCGUGAGUGACGGUAAUGGGUAAAGAAGCACCGGCUAACUACGUG